GGCAAGGAACUCACCUGCGCGGCCACAUCAGAGCUCACAGCCGGCGUCAAUCACUGCUCGGCACCUCGUUCAGUGUCGAUUACCCGAUUUGAAACAGUUCGUAGUGACCUCGCCGAAGCCAUUACAAAGAUGCGUGUAGUUGGGAAGGAGUUGAAAGAUUUGGCUGGAGACGAGAUUAUGGAUUCGCCAGAUACGGCCAAAGAGGUGU